UGGUGACAUGCUUUGUGACUCCAAGUGCAACAAUGACUAUGCCCCAGUGUGCGGCUCCAACAAUCAGAACUACCAGAACGAGUGUUUCCUGCGCAGGGAUGCCUGCAAAAAGCAGUCUGAAGUACUCAUUAUGUCAGAGGGCGCCUGUC